UAAAAAAUAAAAUUUUAAAAAAUUCAAAACGGGCCGGUUUCAGUUUUGGUUCAUGAAAGGGGAAGUGGAACAGGGCCUCCUAAGACCGUUUCUACUUUGGAACUAUUGACCCGGUCCGAUCCCUAAUUUGACCUAGGCCAGUCUCGGUCCAAACCGGAUCGGGCCUAGGUCUAUGAUGUGGUGCUAUGAUAUUAGGAUCAUAGCCAUAUUGCUAGAGAAAUGGACAUUUUGUCUGUGAUAAAUGUUAUUCACCGGCCCUUUUGUCUUAUAGAAGAAGAAGAGGAGAAGAGAGAUAAACAUAGUUGUGUA
rnacentral:misc_RNA from 1 species